rnacentral:rRNA from 1 species
UACCCGCUGAACUUAAGCAUAUCAAUAAGCGGAGGAAAAGAAACCAACAGGGAUUGCCUCAGUAACGGCGAGUGAAGCGGCAACAGCUCAAAUUUGAAAUCUGGCCCCCAGGCCCGAGUUGUAAUUUGUAGAGGAUGAUUCUGGCGACGCGCCUUCCGAGUUCCCUGGAACGGGACGCCAUAGAGGGUGAGAGCCCCGUCCGGUCGUGCGCCUAGCCUCUGUGAAUCUCCUUCGACGAGUCGAGUAGUUUGGGAAUGCUGCUCUAAAUGGGAGGUAUACGUCUUCUAAAGCUAAAUACCGGCCAGAGACCGAUAGCGCACAAGUAGAGUGAUCGAAAGAUGAAAAGCACUUUGAAAAGAGGGUUAAAAAGUACGUGAAAUUGCUGAAAGGGAAGCGCUUAUGACCAGACUUGGGCGUGGUGAAUCAUCCGGCGUUCUCGCCGGUGCACUUUGCCUGUCCAGGCCAGCAUCAGUUCUCCCCGGGGGAUAAAGGCUUCGGGAAUGUAGCUCCUUCGGGAGUGUUAUAGACCCGUUGCGUAAUACCCUGGGGGGGACUGAGGUACGCGUUCGCAGAUGCUGCUANU